rnacentral:rRNA from 1 species
AUUAUGGAGAGUUUGAUCCUGGCUCAGGACGAACGCUGGCGGCAUGCCUAAUACAUGCAAGUCGAGCGAAU